GACGAACGCUGGCGGCGUGCUUAACACAUGCAAGUCGAACGGAGAUGCUCCAGCUCGUUCGUGUGUAACAGUGGGGAACGGGUGAGUAAGACACGAGCAAUCUACCCCAGCUUCUGGAAUAGGCGCCAGAAAGGGCGGACAACUCAUGACACGAAACUGGUAAGCACGGCCUCGGGGUUGGAAGAUAUUCGGCUUCGGAUGGGCUCGCGGCCUUUCAGCUUGUUGGUGAGGUAAUGGCUCACCAAGGCGACGACGGGUAGCCGGCCUGAGAGGGAGACCGGCCACACUGGGACUGAGACACGGCCCAGACGCCUACGGGAGGCAGCAGUGGGGAAUAUUGCACAAUGGGCGAAAGCCUGAUGCAGCGACGCCGCGUUAGGGAUGACGGCCUUCGGGUUGUAAACCUCUUUCAGCAGGGAAGAAGCGAAAGUGACGGUACCUGCAGAAGAAGCACCGGCUAACUACGUG
rnacentral:rRNA from 1 species